rnacentral:rRNA from 1 species
GUGAACGCUGGCGGUAGGCCUAACACAUGCCAGUCGAACGGCAGCACAGUAAGAGCUUGCUCUUACGGGUGGCGCGUGGCGGACGGGUGAGGAAUACAUCGGAAUCUACUUUUUCGUGGGGGAUAACGUAGGGAAACUUACGCUAAUACCGCAUACGACCUACGGGUGAAAGCAGGGGAUCUUCGGACCUUGCGCGAUUGAAUGGGCCGAUGUCGGAUUAGCUAGUUGGCGGGGUAAAGGCCCACCAAGGCGACGAUCCGUAGCUGGUCUGAGAGGAUGAUCAGCCACACUGGAACUGAGACACGGUCCAGACUCCUACGGGAGGCAGCAGUGGGGAAUAUUGGACAAUGGGCGCAAGCCUGAUCCAGCCAUACCGCGUGGGUGAAGAAGGCCUUCGGGUUGUAAAGCCCUUUUGUUGGGAAAGAAAAGCAGCAGGUUAAUACCCCGCUGUUCUGACGGUACCCAAAGAAUAAGCACCGGCUAACUUCGUG